AGCGCAGGCGGGAAGACAAGUUGGAAGUGAAAACCAUGGGCUCAACCCAUGAAUUGCUUUCAAAACUGUUUUUCUUUGAGUAGUACAGAGGUAGAUGGAAUUCCCGGUGUAGCGGUGGAAUGCGUAGAUAUCGGGAGGAACACCAGUGGCGAAGGCGGUCUACUGGGCACCAACUGACGCUGAGGCUCGAAAGCAUGGGUAGCAAACA
rnacentral:rRNA from 1 species